rnacentral:rRNA from 1 species
GUGGGGAAUAUUGGACAAUGGGCGAAAGCCUGAUCCAGCCAUGCCGCGUGUGUGAAGAAGGUCUUCGGAUUGUAAAGCACUUUAAGUUGGGAGGAAGGGCAGUAAGUUAAUACCUUGCUGUUUUGACGUUACCGACAGAAUAAGCACCGGCUAACUUCGUGCCAGCAGCCGCGGUAAUACGAAGGGUGCAAGCGUUAAUCGGAAUUACUGGGCGUAAAGCGCGCGUAGGUGGUUUUGUAAGUUGGAGGUGAAAUCCCCGGGCUCAACCUGGGAACUGCUUUCAAAACUGCUGAGCUAGAGUACGGUAGAGGGUGGUGGAAUUUCCUGUGUAGCGGUGAAAUGCGUAGAUAUAGGAAGGAACACCAGUGGCGAAGGCGACCACCUGGACUGAUACUGACACUGAGGUGCGAAAGCGUGGGGAGCAAACAGGAUUAGAUACCCUAGUAGUCC